AAUAGAUACCCCGGGUAGUCCAUGCCGUAAACGUUGGGCACUAGGUGUGGGGCUCAUUCCACGAGUUCCGUGCCGCAGCUAACGCAUUAAGUGCCCCGCCUGGGGAGUACGGCCGCAAGGCUAAAACUCAAAGGAAUUGACGGGGGGCCCGCACAAGCGGCGGAGCAUGCGGAUUUAAUUCGAUGCAACGCGAAGAACCUUACCAAGGCUUGACAUAUACCGAAAACUCGUAGAGAUACGGGGUCCGCAAGGGCGGUAUACAGGUGGUGCAUGGUUGUCGUCAGCUCGUGUCGUGAGAUGUUGGGUUAAGUCCCGCAACGAGCGCAACCCUCGUCCUAUGUUGCCAGCGGGUAAUGCCGGGGACUCAUAGGAGACUGCCGGGGUCAACUCGGAGGAAGGUGGGGAUGAGGUCAAAUCAUCAUGCCCCUUAUGUCUUGGGCUUCACGCAUGCUACAAUGGCCGGUACAAAGGGCUGCGAUACCGCAAGGUGGAGCGAAUCUCAAAAAAGCCGGUCUCAGUUCGGAUUGGGGUCUGCAACUCGA
rnacentral:rRNA from 1 species